GGGGCAAGCGUUGUUCGGAAUUACUGGGCGUAAAGGGCUCGUAGGCGGCCAACUAAGUCGGAUGUGAAAUCCCCAGGCUCAACCUGGGAACUGCAUCCGAUACUGGAUGGCUUGAAUCCGGGAGAGGGAUGCAGAAUUCCAGGUGUAGCGGUGAAAUGCGUAGAUAUCUGGAGGAAUACCGGUGGCGAAGGCGGCAUCCUGGACCGGCAUUGACGCUGAGGAGCGAAAGCCAGGGGAGCAAACGGG
rnacentral:rRNA from 1 species